rnacentral:rRNA from 1 species
GACGAGCCUCACGAACGUUUAUUCGGAAUUACUGGGCUUAAAGGGUGCGUAGGCGGCGCGGAAAGUAGGGUGUGAAAUCCCUCGGCUCAACCGAGGAACUGCGCUCUAAACUACCGUGCUCGAGGGAGAUAGAGGUAAGCGGAACUUAGGGUGGAGCGGUGAAAUGCGUUGAUAUCCUAAGGAACACCGGUGGCGAAAGCGGCUUACUGGACCGGCAUUGACGCUGAGGAGCGAAAGCCAGGGGAGCAAACGGGG